ACACCAAUACAGAGUGUUAAUCUUAGUACAAUAGCAUCCUGACGUCUUUAGGCAUGACAUGAUGUUCUAAACCAUGGGUCGUCAAACUAAAGCCCGUGGGCCAGAUACGGCCCGCCUCAGAGCUUUUGGACUUGUUUGGAGAAAACGAUCUCCAAGCAAGUAGGAAAGCUCUGAGCCGGCGCAGGCAUUCUCUGAAACUGAGCAGAGAGCUGGCGCAUGUGCCAAAUUGUAGCAGCUCAACUGCGCGGGCGCCAGCUCCCCCCGCCCCCAUUGCACACAUAUACAGAGUGGGAAUAUGGAGCAGGAAACACAAGAGAGGAAGGCAGAAGAGAGAGAGAGAUGAAGACACUAAAAAGGAUUGAAGAGAGCUCAGGGUGUUGCAAAUCAUGGCUUCCCCUGACUUUCCCCGCACAACAAUCCAGCGAGGUAGCAGAGGUCCAGAGAACGCGACGGUCUCACCAUCACCUACCGAUGGCGGAGUUGUAGCGAUUGGGCCCAACACUUCUGCAGAAGUGCUGCAAGAAGAUAUCGGGAUUGAUUGAUUGAUUUGUAAUUGAGCAAUACAACACCAACCAGACUGCACCGUUGGAAAAGAAGCAAAGAGAAAAAGGGAAAGCGUUUGCAUUUAAGAAAAUAAAAGCUCUAUAGCAGUGGUUGCA